GAGACAACCAGGUAGCGCUGAGCGGCCGCUCCGGCAACCAAUAGAAGCGGGAGGGGCGGGGCCAGUCGGGUCUUGUGCCGCUGCGGCGGGGAUCGCAGGUGUGCAGUCUUGCCGGCCCCCCCAGGCCUGAGAAGCAUGAAGCUGCUGUGUUUGGUGGCGGUGGUCGCGAGUCUGCUGGUGCCCCCAGCCCAAGCCAACAAGAGUUCUGAAGAUAUCCGGUGCAAAUGCAUCUGCCCACCGUAUAGAAACAUCAGUGGACACAUUUAUAACCAGAAUGUGUCACAGAAGGACUGCAACUGCCUGCAUGUGGUGGAGCCCAUGCCGGUGCCGGGCCACGACGUGGAGGCCUACUGCCUGCUGUGCGAGUGCAAGUACGAGGAGCGGAGCACCACCACCAUCAAGGUGCCCGGGCGCCCCGCCCCUCGCCCCGCCCCUCGCCCUGCAGGGCUGUGGCCUGUACAGCCCCGCCCUACUCCACCGUCCUGCACCAUUACUUGUGGCUAUGGGGCUGGCUCACAGGCUGGCUUGGACACCCACAGGGAUCCUCUUCCCGCCCCCUGUUGGAGCCGCCCUCCCCUGACAUCCUCCCACUUGCAGGGGAAACCUGGAAGGCGAGCUGGAGACCCCUUUCCUCCACUUUGCCUUUUUUGCGCUCCCCUCUGUCCUGACUGUUUCGGUGCUGUGUUCCUGGCACUGUGCAGGAUGCUGGGAGCGCAGGUCGCCUGCCCUCUGGAGCUUUCAGUCUGGUAAAGCUUCCAGAGCGACACCAGACUCCCAUGAGAUGCUGUGCAGAGUUGCAGGCCUGGCCGGACGGGUCCCCCCUUUCCUUUCCCUGAGCCUCGUUCCCAGGAUCUUCAUGGGGUGACUUCAGCGGAGGUGGUAGGAUGGGCACCAGCAUGGAGUGAGGAUGGGAGGGGCCUAAUCCCUCCAGCAGGGCUCGCCUGGGCCACACUCUAGCAGGUUGUCCCCCCUGUGUCCUCUAAUCACAGUGAGCAGGCUGUGCUUACUGAUGUCGAACAGAAGCCCUUCCUGGUCCAGCUUUUAAGCUUGUUUCUGCGUGUCCUGUGAAGAAGGGUCUGGAAAGAACUCCCAGGAAUUUAGUGCCACUGCUGAGCCCAUGGCCCGGCUUCCUUUUUGAGGCUGUUUGGAGGGGCUUUGGUCCUCAACACUGUCCCCCUGCCUGGACUAAGGAGCUGGCACUCACUUGUCCCAGGGUGGUCCACACUCCCCGCCGAGGUAGAAGCGCUUGCCUGUGUCCACCCUCCCAUCCCCUCCUUGGGGGGACCAGGUGCCCAAGACCUUAAAUUCUGAGCCAGAUGUUGCCUCACCCAUUUGGCAGGGAAGGGGCUUCCCACCCUGAGGCCCUCAUCAGACACACUUCUUAAUCCCCAGGUUCCCUCAGGUCCUCGUCCCUAAGACCCCUCCCCUGCCACCAACUUCAUGCAGUUAGGGACUCCACCGGAUUCCCCCCGCCACCUCCUGGGGUGCAGGAAAGAGGUCUGAUCCUUUCCUCUGUCUAAAGAUGCCGCAAUCACGGGGGACGUGGUUUAGCUGGACUUGGCUCUGGCCUGAGCUUGUCCUACGUCACAGUCAGAUCCACGCCAAGCAAGGAUCAGAAGCCAGGGAUGGUCAGGUUUGGGGGAGCAGAAAAGGCAUUGGUGGUGUUGCCGGCAAAUCUGAGUUCAAGGCACAUCCACCGCUUAGUGUCCUUGGUGUGGCAUCGGGGACCUCGGAGAUGGACGGAGGAGCAUCUUUGGCCGCAGUGACUGAGGUGUGUUUCUGGCCACCGAGGCUGAAGUCCUAGAAAAUCCUACCUCGGGUGCCUGGAGGCCGCACGUGGAGGAAUAUCCAAUUAGCCUCCUGGACGUGGCUUUUUCUGUAAAACAGAAACAACUCCUUGUAAGGCCAUCUGGGUAUAUAAGAGAUGGGUGACAUUGUCCUUCUGCCCCUGGCUGGCCUCCUGCUGAUGAGUGAUGGGAGGGACUGUGGCCACCUGCCGGUCCCUCUCUGCCCAGGGAUGGUGACACGCCUUCUCAGGACUGAAACUCCCACCCCGUCCUGCCCUCGGUUGGGUUCGGUGUUUAAAUGGCCCCUGGGGGCAUCUCGUGGUGUCUGGACCAGGCGUCUUCCUUCCUUGUCUGCCGUCUUUAUGCUGCCAGAGAACUGAUGGUUCCUGUGCCCGGGUGGGGGAGGGGGUGUGUCCCCGGGGGCAGGGGGUCCCCUCCUUCCAGGGCAGUCAAUGCACAAGGUACAGGCUGGCGCUGCCCUCCCUGGCGCUCUUGCUGCGCCUGUGGUCUCCUGGCCCAGCCGCUUGCUGUGGAUAGCCGGCCCGGGGAGGAGCCAUCAGGGGUGGGUCUGCAGGGCUCGCUGCGUCUCUUCCGCACCCAGAUUAUCAUCGUCAUCUACCUGUCAGUGGUGGGCGCCCUCCUGCUCUACAUGGCCUUCCUGAUGCUGGUGGACCCUCUGAUUCGAAAGCCCGACGCCUAUACCGAGAGACUGCACAACGAGGAGGAGAACGAGGAUGCUCGCUCUGUGGCGGCCGCCGCCUCCUUCGGGCCCCGGGCAAACACGGUCCUGGAGCGCGUGGAGGGCGCUCAGCAGCGGUGGAAGCUGCAGGUGCAGGAGCAGCGGAAGACGGUCUUCGAUCGGCACAAGAUGCUCAGCUAAGUGGCCGGCGCAGCCAAGUCAUGGUCAAGGCCAGGGCCGGAUGGUGCUGGGCCACCCUCCCGCUCAGUGCCACCUCUGGGUCUUCCCUUUAAAGCCCGAGGCAUUUUUUCUUCUCCCUUAUUUAGAAAUGUGCUCAGCCAGUUAACCUGGGACGCGUGCUGGGUCCCUGGUCUCAGUUUGCCUGCUUGGGGGUUUGGGGGAGGGGGGUGCCACAGGCCAGGAGGUGGGGGGGGGCUCCGACUGUCUCCUUGCUGUCCCCGUCACCACUUUCCCGGCUCCAGAUCUUGGGAAGUGAGUGUGUGAGAGGAAGGCACCACCAGCUUCCUGCCGACACAACUCCUCAGCCCAGCUUGGCCGCAUUCCAGCCCUCACCGGCUCUGCCGGCAGGGCAGAUGCCACAGCCCUGCUGUGGCCCUCAGGGCACACCUGGAUGCUGUUCCAGUUUCCCUUCCCUGCCCUUUGCUCCUGCUGCCGCCGCUGUGGGCAGAGCCCAGGACCUUGCUCAGUUCAGGAAGCCAGAGGUGCCCCCGCCCCGGCUGGCAGCUGCUGAGCAUUGGUGGGACAACAGGCCCCCGAGGCUGAGGUGGCUCUGAGCACCUGGGCCCCUGUCCUGGGUCACACUUGUCCCUGCAUUUUGUUGUACCAGUGCAUGCAGAGAAAUGUCAUCCUUCCAUCACCUGUGAAUCAAGGAAGCGUCAUUAAAUUGUCUUUAUUUCUCUCA